rnacentral:tRNA from 1 species
GCAGGGGUAGCGAAGCCUGGUCAAACGCGCAGGACUUAAGAUCCUGUCCCUUAGUGGGUCCGAGGGUUCAAAUCCCUUCCCCUGCACCA